rnacentral:misc_RNA from 1 species
AGCUCUGAUGUAGGUAUCUGGACGGGCUUUAUAUGUUCACAGACAUGCGAAAUUCUUUUCACUGUCUCUUCAAAGCCCCCUUCUUCGUAUUCUGUGUAUUUGUGGACCAAUCUCUUGUGUCGAACCUUGGCUUUCCCCCACAGUCUUUCUUCUAUCGUGUAGAUUAGUUUUAGUGGGUGCACAUAGUACUAGUAAUUCGUUCCUUUGUGAUUUAUUCAAUAUGUCUAAACAGCCACAUAGAGUAUAUCAUUAUUAUCCACCUCCGUAUUUUUUUCUUAUCUAGUUUCUACAUUUGCUUUAUACAAACGUACAGAGAUGUUUAAUCUUCUUUCAUCAUUGUUAUGUUCUUCACAGUUUUGUACAGAACUUCAUCUUUUUUCUAUUUUUUUUUUGAAUCUGUCUUCAAAUGUUGCUUAGUUAUUUUUCUUGUAACAGUGUAAAUUUAAUAUUUCCAAAAAUAUGCAUCAAUUCAAAUUUAGGUACUAUGUAUUUAAGUUUAAAAAAAUAAUGCGCAAACGCUUUAAUUGAUCUUUAAUAUUUUUAUAUGAUUUACAUUUUUUCUGGUCAUUUUUCUAUCGUCUGUGUCAUCUAAACAUUUACUCUAUUAAGUGGUAGAAACUUUCAUAUCAAAGUCGUGGACUGUCCUUGGACUUUAAAAAGUUUAAAAUUCCUAUCUGUGUCCUGAUCUUUAUAAUGCCAAAUAACGAAGGUUAAUCGGUUUGGUUGAAGAUUUAUGCAUUGGUCAGUAGGUCAGCAGGGGCAAGGCUUGUAAUACAAUACAUUUCUCCUUUAGCGGAAGACGGAAGCGUGCAGCAGAAUGGCUGAGUAAGACAUUUUCAAACGGAAAGAAUUCUGCAGAUGAAGAAACAAGCCAUUGAAGUGUUGUGAUUUUGAUUUUAUUUAUGGAUCUCAUAAGCGGUCCUGUAAAGGUACCCGGAUACAGUGUAUUUAUAUGGAACGUGAGGAAUUGGAUGACAGCUUAAUAAAUAAAUCGUCCUAUGUCAGUUCGUCUUUUUGUCUCAGGAAUACCAGCUGUGCUGGUUGUCUUCGUCUGUUGUGUGUUUGUUCAUGUGUUUAAAUUAAAAUAAUAUUUAAUAUU